rnacentral:rRNA from 1 species
UACGUAGGGUGCAAGCGUUGUCCGGAAUUAUUGGGCGUAAAGAGCUCGUAGGCGGUCUGUCGCGUCGGCUGUGAAAACCCGGAGCUCAACUCCGGGCCUGCAGUCGAUACGGGCAGACUGGAGUUCGGCAGGGGAGACUGGAAUUCCUGGUGUAGCGGUGAAAUGCGCAGAUAUCAGGAGGAACACCGGUGGUGUAAACGGCUUUCUGGACCAUAACUGACGCUGAGGCACGAAAGCGUGGGUAGCAAACAGG